GGCUAGGCUAAAAUAUCUUGGUGUGGUUACAGGUCAGUGUGCAAAGAACCAGCCACAAACAAGCCAUCUUCACCUGGAGCUUCCAUACUGCUGACAAAAGGGCAGCUGGUACAACCCUCCGUACUCAGGGUUACAGUCAUUUACUGGUCUUCUACAAGAACUGAGUCAUUACUAUCACAAUAUCGGAGAAAACUGUUCAUCUGCUUUCUGUUCAAACCAGAAGAAGGGGGACAGAAGGAAAAAAAAAGAAAAGAGUUUGGUUAACCUCCAAAAAUACAUGUUAUAUUGGAAAGGUUCCAGGCAAAAAAGAAAAGAACUAAUAUAGAAGCCCAGGUGACAGAAGCGUGGCAAUUACUACCUUUCCUCCGAAGCUGGUGUUCCUGUUUGCUCCCAUGAUCUUCUGCAUUAGUAAGAGUUUCCUGUAACUGUUGUAGCUUCUCCUGGUUCUGAAGAUGUGUCAUGCGUAGCUGAGCUCGAAGGUCCUGUAUUUCAUAAAGCAAGCUAUUCCUGUCUGAGGAGAAAAGGUGCUCUACAACCAUCUGCCGCUGUUCCUCCUGAAAAUGAACCAAGUGUCAAUAAAUCUACAAAGCUAUUCCCAUUUUUUCCUACAAGGAUAAACCCUAGAGAAACCUUUGCAUUAGAAGUUUUAUAGAAAGGCAACUUCAAAUGACUAGGUUCAUGCCCCAUUUUAAUUCAACGUUAACGUUAAGUAACACAAAAACACUUCGUUGGCUUCCAAAUAGCCUGAUAGUUAUUAAUAAUAGUUUACACAUAAUAGUUGCUACAAACCAUCUGGCCUGCAGCUAAAAGCUAAAUAUUGUCAUGAAACAAUCCCAAAUAUAUUCAGGGUUAGCUCAAAAUACACCCUUUGCAAGAGAGAUCUGCGAUGCUCCAGAUGGAAUUCUUCUUUCCCACCCUCCUUCAUCAAAUAUUUCCUUUUCACUACCACAAUCUCCUGAUCACUACUUUUUCUGGCUGCCAAAUAUAAUAAUCAAUAGAUUUUCAACAUGAAGUCUGAGAAAAAAUGGUGCCAAAAUAAAGAUUAUAAAAGCAUACUGAUAGGACACAAUCUGGAUUAAUGCAUAAGAUGUAAGAUUCAGGAACAGAGGCGAUAAAACUGUAAAAUAAUUGCAGUAUCCAUGCAUCACGCCCAUAUCCACUCUUAAAUUAAAAUAUGGUGGAAUAGAAGAAGCGAUUUAUAAGCAUAAUACUUUAAGAGGUUUUCUUACUUGUUGUUUCAUAAUAUGCUCCAGUUUUUCCACUAAUGAACCUUCAUCACCAGACCCAGGAUUGCAGAAGUGAGACUUCAUAUCAAUCUGCAACACGUUUCUCUCCUUAUCGAACACCCUCUGUACUGCUUGGAGAAGUUCUCCUCUCCAGUCAGUGGUAAUAUCCGAAUGUUCCUGUAGAAAACAAGCAUACUUACUGGCAUCUGUAGCAUCAACCUCUAACUUGCAAACCACAUACAGCCUACCAACACCUUUCAGAUGGCCUGCAACUGUAAAGUGUCUUUUGUAUCAUUGCUGCAGAAAACUACUUUGUAAUUUAAGCAGACUAAAAGGUGUUAGAGAGGCCUGUUCAAACCUCAGAAAGGAAAGAAUCCCCUGCUCCUCAUACAUACAUUGUAUAUGUUUUUAUGUAUAUAUAUAUUUAAAAAUAAAGAACUGGUAACCAUG